GCGCAAUGGGCGAAAGCCUGACGCAGCAACGCCGCGUGGGGGAUGACGGCCUUCGGGUUGUAAACCUCUUUCGACAGGGACGAAACUUUCGGGUGACGGUACCUGUAGAAGAAGCACCGGCUAACUACGUGCCAGCAGCCGCGGUAAUACGUAGGGUGCGAGCGUUGUCCGGAUUUAUUGGGCGUAAAGAGCUCGUAGGCGGUUUGCCGCGUCGGCCGUGAAAACCUGCAGCUUAACUGUGGGCGUGCGGUCGAUACGGGCAGACUUGAAUUCGGCAGGGGAGACUGGAAUUCCUGGUGUAGCGGUGAAAUGCGCAGAUAUCAGGAGGAACACCAGUGGCGAAGGCGGGUCUCUGGGCCGAUACUGACGCUGAGGAGCGAAAGCAUGGGAAGCGAACAGGAUUAGAUACCCUGGUAGUCCAUGCCGUAAACGUUGGGCGCUAGGUGUGGGGAUGGGUUCCACCGUUUCCGUGCCGUAACUAACGCAUUAAGCGCCCCGCCUGAGGAGUACGGCCGCAAGGCU
rnacentral:rRNA from 1 species